UUGGUAUGCACUGGCUUUACUGAUUCCUCCUUCUUGACGAACCGUGAUGUCAUUAAUUUGGUGUUGCGGGAAAUCAGGACUGUUACUUUGAAAAAAUUAGAGUGUUUAAAGCAGGCUAACGCUUGAAUACAUUAGCAUGGAAUAAUGAAAUAGGACGUUAAUCCUAUUUUGUUGGUUUCUAGGAUCGACGUAAUGAUUAAUAGGGAUAGUUGGGGGCAUUAGUAUUCAAUUGUCAGAGGUGAAAUUCUUGGAUUUAUUGAAGACUAACUACUGCGAAAGCAUUUGCCAAGGAUGUUUUCAUUAAUCAAGAACGAAAGUUAGGGGAUCGAAGACGAUCAGAUACCGUCGUAGUCUUAACCAUAAACUAUGCCGACUAGGGAUCGGAUGAUGUUAAUUCUUUAAUGACUCAUUCGGCGCCUUACG
rnacentral:rRNA from 1 species